CCUGUGUGUGUAUGUGUACGUGUGUGUAUCUAUGUGUAUGUGUGUGUCUGUAUGUAUGUGUCUGUGUCUGUGUAUGUAUGUGUAUCUGUGUGUGUAUCUAUGUGUAUGUAUGUGUGUGUGUGUCUGUGUGUGUGUGUCUGUGUGUAUCUAUGUGUAUGUGUGUGUGUCUGUGUGUGUAUGUAUGUGUAUCUGUGUCUCUGUGUGUAUGUAUGUGUAUCUGUGUGUCUGUGUGUAUGUAUGUGUGUCUGUGUGUGUGUCUGUGUGUGUAUGUAUGUGUAUCUGUGUGUCUGUGUGUAUGUAUGUGUGUCUGUGUGUAUGUAUGUGUGUAUGUGUGUGUGUGUGUGUCUGUGUGUGUAUGUAUGUGUGUCUGUGUGUGUGUCUGUGUGUCUGUGUGUAUGUAUGUGUGUCUGUGUGUCUGUGUGUCUGUGUGUGUGUCUGUGUGUCAGUGUGUGUGUGUGUCUCUCCAGGCCCGCGUCUCGCACAGCCGCCGUGCGGACCGCAGGGCGCUG
rnacentral:lncRNA from 1 species